CACAUUUCAACAACGGAUAUCUUGUCUCUCGCAUCGCUGAAGAACGCAGCGAAAUGUGAUACGUAAUGUGAAUUGUGCAGAACUCAGAGAAUCAUAAUCUCUGAACGCACCUUGUGCCCCCUGUCAUUUCCAGAGGGGCACCCCCGUGAGAGUGUCG
rnacentral:rRNA from 1 species